UAAUAUGCUUACUAUGCUUACCUAUAUUUACCCUAUUUAACCAUUUAGCUUAUUUUAUAAUUUUUGUAUAGGUAUAUUAAAGUUAGUGAUAAUGCAUCCACCGUUAUGCGAGUUGGUGUACCACAAGAAAAUAUUUAUGUGAGUUUAAUUUUUAAAGUUGAAUUUUUUGUACCUAAAGUUUAGUAAGUUGAUGAAGAAAAUUGGCUAUACUAGCUUUUCUAUUAGGCUUAUAGAAAAUUCUGACCUAGUUUUGGAAAAAUCAUGCAGACGAUAUCCUAAACUAAAUAGUUGAAACGUAGUAACAAUUUUUUUUGAGGCAAAUAUAGUCAGUCAAGCAGAUCAGGAUAUAAAUAUUAGGGAAGUGACGUACAACAGAACUUUUCUUACAAAUUUGAUUUUCCAUAGAAAAGGAUAAAGUAGCUUUAUUAUUUUAAGGUGAAAAAAAAAACCAAAAGACAUUUUAACCCAAAUAUCUUUUUUUCACAACCAUUCUCAUAUGAGAUGUCAAAAACCUACUUACAAAGGUUGAGUAUGAUCUGCGGGGGUUGUAUUUAGCAACGACUACAAUACGUGGUAUACCACAUAACGUACUACAGUACAUAUGUAUAUGGGAUACCAACUAUAAUAUUGUGUCAACCCUGAUCAUGCUCAGGGGCGAUUGUGUGUACCCGUCACCGUAUGGAUCGGCUCGUCGAUUCCGUCGGCAUUAACAUCCGAUUUAGUAGACCGAAAUCGGUCUCGAUGUCAGCCGAUCAUGUCGGUGUCUUUUAAAUAGGUCGAUUUCGGCUUCGACGUCUGCCGAUAACGUCGGUAUGUCAAUUUUUUGGUGCAAAAGUGAAAAUAUCAGGAUCUUGAUCCUUGCCGUGUGUGAUGGUUUUAUAUUUAUGGUGAAAACCUCGUGCUGCGGAAUCAUCGACCAGCACUGAGUGUUCUGGGCAGGAGGGACUACCAAUGUGGUGAGGAAGUUGGUCUGGUGAUCAUUGGUUCCGGCUCCGGAGGCUGGCUGCUAUUAAAGCUACCCAGUUGGGGAUUAAGACCGUGUGCAUUGAGAAGAACGACACAUGUGGUGACACCUGCCUCAAUGUGUGAUAUAUCCCAUCGAAACCUCUCCUCAAUAAUACCCAUGGACAUUGCGCAGCUCUUCAAGAAGAGACGCAUCUCAUUAAGGGCUACGGGAGAAUCACGUCAGCCAAGGAAGUCACCGCCAAGACGGAAUCUGGCUAAGAGAUGACUGCAACGGGAGCAGAAGUCACCCCAUUUCCCCGGCGGAUGGGUCGAAAGGUGAUAAAACGAAGGCUUGAAAAAUGCAUCUACAAGGGGUGUCCAUAUCAACGUACACGCGACUGUGACUUUUAUAAAUCCACGUGGGAAGCUAGCUGCCCCUCAGAGGGAUACCAUCUACGGAAACAUCCACAACUCUGCGUGGGAGUCUAGCUGCCCCUUAGGGGAAUACCGUCGGAGGCACCAGAGGCACUCGCAAUUCUUCAGUAUUAAAAAAACGACGUUCUUCAAGCUUCCGUUGUCGAAGAUCUUCGUGUUACAGCAUGCAUCAUGGGAUUCACAUGCAGAUAAGCCCAAAAUUAAUUUACCUACUUAGGUUUAGUAACAGAUAUUUCCAAAUUAGGAUAGAAAGAUCAAUUCUAAGUCAAAAUUCUUUAACAUUUUUCGUAAGAAUUUCUAAAACUCUUAUUUUUACUGAAUCCAUUAAACUUAAAGAAAAAUUUUAAAGCAUUCUAUAUAAAACAUGCAAAUCUGUAGUUUUUGUAAUUAAAUUAUCUUAUAAUUUUGAAAAUAUUUUUAGAUAUUCAAAAAGAAUAUCUUUACUAGUUGUCAGAACUAUUUUUGUAUAAUUUUUCGAACUUAUCGUUCUCUAGAUAUGUAUAUAACUCCCGGAAAAUCUUAUUUAGACCUCCUACGUACCCUUUUUGCGAAAUAUUCUUUUUUUAAGAUAACAAAGAAUUUGAAGUCACACAUGAAUAGAUUCAGAACAGAAUCUUUCCAGGAAAACUCGUGAAAAAUCAUCAUUUUUUGCUUUAAGUUGCGUAAAAAUGUUGAUUUUUUAUUUAUAAAAUGUAAUGAUGAUGAUUUAUAAAAAUAUAUUAAAGACAAAAAAAAUAUAAUUUAAUAGAAAAAUAUUUCAAAUGAAAAAAAUUACAGAGAAAAAAAUAAAAUUAAAAAUUAGCAAUAGGAAUUAUUUCUAAUUUUCUUAAUGGAAUUCAACUGCAGGCGAAAAAUAUGUAAUUUUUAUAAAUUUUAUGUAAAAUUGUUAUUUUUUUGUAUUUUUUUUAUAUUAUAUUAAAUAAAACUGAAAAAAUAAAGAAAA